GACGAACGCUGGCGGCGUGCUUAACACAUGCAAGUCGAACGGAAAGGCCCUGCUUUUGUGGGGUGCUCGAGUGGCGAACGGGUGAGUAACGCGUGAGUAACCUGCCCUUGACUUUGGGAUAACUUCAGGAAACUGGGGCUAAUACCGGAUAGGAGCUCCUGCUGCAUGGUGGGGGUUGGAAAGUUUCGGCGGUUGGGGAUGGACUCGCGGCUUAUCAGCUUGUUGGUGGGGUAAUGGCUUACCAAGGCUUUGACGGGUAGCCGGCCUGAGAGGGUGACCGGCCACAUUGGGACUGAGAUACGGCCCAGACUCCUACGGGAGGCAGCAGUGGGGAAUAUUGCACAAUGGGCGGAAGCCUGAUGCAGCAACGCCGCGUGCGGGAUGACGGCCUUCGGGUUGUAAACCGCUUUCGCCUGUGACGAAGCGUGAGUGACGGUAAUGGGUAAAGAAGCACCGGCUAACUACGUG
rnacentral:rRNA from 1 species